UGUCUACAACAUAGAGUUAAUGCAUUGGAUCCCAUUAGAACUCCACAGUUAAUCCCUACUCAGGAUAGAGUAGUACUGGAAUGGGUGACCACCUGGGAAGUCCUAGUGUUUUACAUGC
rfam:Picea glauca, whole genome shotgun sequence.